UUUACCGUAGUAACCAUAGUUUUACUCUGGUAUUUGUAGUUACUAACACACAAUAACCACGACAUUUACUAUGGGUUUACCAUAGUAACCAUAGUUUUACUCUGGUAUUUGUAGUUACUAACACACAAUAACCACAACAUUUACUAUGGGUUUACCAUAGUAACCAUAGUUUUACUCUGGUAUUUGUAGUUACUAACACACAAUAACCACAACAUUUACUAUGGGUUUACCAUAGUAACCAUAGUUUUACUCUGGUAUUUGUAGUUACUAACACACAAUAACCACAACAUUUACUAUGGGUUUACCAUAGUAACCAUAGUUUUACUCUGGUAUUUGUAUUUACUAACACACAAUAACCACAACAUUUACUAUGGGUUUACCAUAGUAACCAUAGUUUUACUCUGGUAUUUGUAUUUACUAACACACAAUAACCACAACAUUUACCAGGAUUUUACCACAGUAACUGUUUUUACUCUACACUAUUUGUAAAGCACAGUAACCACUAAGUUUGCCAUGCCUUUAAUAUCUUUUUGUGAUGUAAUUGUAAUUCAGUGUUUUUUCUGUCUUGCAGUUACGUCGGAUUACAUACUCCACAACAACCUGUAAUCCAGCAGAUCUUUAAAGAAGCCAUCUCUUGUAAAAUUUCUCUCUCUCUCUCUCUCUCUCUCUCUCUCUCGCUCUGCUAGAAUUAACAGGGAACUUCAACUCCACGCUCCCAAUGCUGAUAUUGAAGAAGCUGUCAAGGGGGCUGAACAAGUCCUUCAAAGGAUCAACCCUUCACAGGAAGGCCUGUCAUGAGAUUUGAAUUUGACCAUCUUGUGCAUUUAUGAAGAAGACCAAAAGCUGCAAAGGCAAACACUUCCAAUGGCAGAAACUGAGAGUUUGCAUGAUGGCAUUUUCUCAGACGCUGAAUCUGAUGUGUACAGAUGAACUCAGGAGCCUACUAGAGUUGCCAAGGAACUUGUGCUUGAACUGAAGACCAGAAACGCAAAGAAAAUCAGUCAAACCAGUCCUAAAGAAAUGAGGAAUGAACAUGGACUUCUUGUGCCCCAAAAGAAAAGACAGAAAGAUGAAAAGUUUCACAUUUCAAUUUGUAUGUCUGAAUUCAAUGCAGUUAUGUGUGGUACAACAUUGAUGUUGAUCUCUCAAAAGACUUUUCAAGUCCGCAGUUAUAGUUUUUCACAUAUACAUCUUUUUUAUAGCUCCUAAAAUGAGCAAAUAAGCUGUGCAUCAUCUCUGUGAUUUGGGAAGGAAAUGACUGAAUAUGAUGAAGCCAAUUGAUGAAGAUAUCAAUUGAAUGGCCACCGAGUGCAUCACUGCUACCUGAACCCAUCAGUUAUCUUCUGUGAAGACUGCAUUCACAAACCGCUCUACUGCGACAGCUCAGAUGUUACGGCCUGCAAAGUAAACAUCACAGCUAAACAACGAGAGCUAGUUGUGGUGGGAUUCUUUUGGCCAAUAUCCCCAACAAGAAUCAAUGACAUCUAGACCAGGUGGAGUGUGAGGAGGACCGUCAGAGACUCCAGCCAGCCGAGCCAUGGAUUGCUCUCACUGUUACCAUCAGGCAGACGUUAUCACAGAACCUACACCAGCAGACAGUGAGACAAGUUCCUUUCACAGGCAAUCAGACUGAACUGAACUCAUACCAGUAAAACCAUACACACCCCACCAACCUCAUAUGCCCUGCACUCUUAUCAGUUAUGCUGACUGGACUCAAUAUUAUUAUGCACCCUGACAUUCUGUUUGCACUAAUUCAUACCGUGCUUUACUGCAGAGAUGUAUGUGUACUGUGAUUAUUAUUGUUUUCAAUUCAUGCUCUUUGUAUAGCAUAAUUUUUAACAUAUAUUGUUAUCUACCUGAAUUGAGUCCCUUAUAUAUGUGUGUUGCAUAUAUAUAUAUUCAGAAUUUGUAUUUCAUAUAUAUUCAUGAAUUAAUUCAUUUGUCAUCCAUACUGUCACGCUGCAGUCUGCACCCAAGACUUUCAUCACCUGUAUACUUGUGUUCAUUGUAUUGUGACAAUAAAGAUAUUUGAUUUAAA